rnacentral:rRNA from 1 species
AGAUUGAACGCUGGCGGCAGGCCUAACACAUGCAAGUCGAGCGGUAGAGAGGUGCUUGCACCUCUUGAGAGCGGCGGACGGGUGAGUAAUGCCUAGGAAUCUGCCUAGUGGUGGGGGGAUAACGUUCGGAAACGGACGCUAAUACCGCAUACGUCCUACGGGAGAAAGCGGGGGACCUUCGGGCCUCGCGCCAUUAGAUGAGCCUAGGUCGGAUUAGCUAGUUGGUGAGGUAAUGGCUCACCAAGGCGACGAUCCGUAACUGGUCUGAGAGGAUGAUCAGUCACACUGGAACUGAGACACGGUCCAGACUCCUACGGGAGGCAGCAGUGGGGAAUAUUGGACAAUGGGCGAAAGCCUGAUCCAGCCAUGCCGCGUGUGUGAAGAAGGUCUUCGGAUUGUAAAGCACUUUAAGUGGAGGAAGGUUGUAACCUAAGUACGUUGCAACUUUGACGUUACCGACAGAAUAAGCACCGGCUAACUUCGACGCCAGCAGCCGUACG